CUGAGUUUGAGUCCGCGAGCAGGUGGCGCCCAGGCCGCGAGGGGCCGCCGCUGUUGAGCGCGCGAUAGGUGCAAACGAGCGACUGAGAGCUGCUCCGCAUGUUUCCAAAUGUCAGAGAAGGGGAAGUAAUUGAAUCGUCCUUCAUUCUUCCUGGAAUGCCAUCACUGGCCUUGGAUGAAAUGGUCCAAGCUCCAGAAACAUGGGCAUUCUCAUCCAAGGAUGGACCAGCGCUGUUCUCCAACAAUAACAGUACAAAUGUUUUCAACAGUCAAGAACUGCACAGGCCCCUCAAGUGUCAGUGAAUAAUUUUUGUUUUGUUAAACGUGGCCUUUCAGCGAAGGCGUCUUCUUGGAGUGACCCGACAUUCGUGCCAUUACCGCUGAAUCAACUUACUGCUUGAAGCUUCCUCAUUGGAAUGGAAAAAAAAAAGUGAUUUCAAUGUGCUGUUUGCCUACUUGAGCUCUUUGAAAUGGUCUGGCUCUACAAGGAAAUUCAUGGCUGGAAAUAUUUUAGCUAUCCACUUACCACUGAUGCUCUGUACUUAAUUUUCUGUAGAACUAUUACACUUUAAUCGUCUGAGAACUUAUAAUGCAUCUUUGUGUGUUCUCAAUUGGU
rnacentral:lncRNA from 1 species